UACGGGGGGGGCAAGCGUUGUUCGGAUUUACUGGGCGUAAAGGGCGCGUAGGCGGCGCGGUAAGUCACUUGUGAAAUCUCUGAGCUUAACUCAGAACGGCCAAGUGAUACUGCAGUGCUAGAGUGUGGAAGGGGCAAUCGGAAUUCUUGGUGUAGCGGUGAAAUGCGUAGAUAUCAAGAGGAACACCUGAGGUGAAGACGGGUUGCUGGGCCAACACUGACGCUGAGGCGCGAAAGCCAGGGGAGCAAACGGG
rnacentral:rRNA from 1 species